UCCCUGGAGGACUAGUGGUUAGGCCUCUGCGCUCUCGGCGCUGCGGCCUGGGUUCGAGCCCCAGCCAGGGAA